GGUCCCAUCGUCUAGCGGUUAGGACACCGGCCUCUCACGUCGGUAACACGGGUUCGAUUCCCGUUGGGACCACCA
rnacentral:tRNA from 4 species